AUACUUACCUGGUAGGGGAGAUACUAUGACUUAAAGUUGGUUUCCCAGGGUGAGACUCACCCAUUGCACUGAUGACCCCUGCAAUUUCCCCAAAUAUGGGGAAACUCAACUGCAUAAUUUGUGAUAGUGGGGGAACUGUGUUCAGGCUCUCCCCUG
rnacentral:snRNA from 1 species